rnacentral:lncRNA from 1 species
AUGUGCUACCAAGGCCUACUGCAUUACGUUUCCACAUCCACAAUGAACCGAGAGCUGAUAUUUUAUAAUUACAAUAUGUACAUCUGGUUUCAGGGUGCAACUGAAAAGAAAAGAGGGAUAUCUAUCAAUAAUAGUUUUCAUUGUUGCUAAAAUUAGAGCUUUUUUUCACUUUUGUGUCAUUACAAUCACCUUCAGGAUACCGAAUCUCCUUUUCUGGACACAAUGCGACUGAACAAAAGAGAUAAUGCCCUGCUGGUUGGUCAUUACAGGUGCAAGAUUACACUUCAUCACAUAAAAAUGAUGUUUAAAUUUAAAGGAUGAUCCUGGCAGAUAUCAUAAUCUUGUAUCAUCAUCUUCAUAUUUUAGCUGUCCAACACUGCAGCCCAAGGGAUAUGCUAAAGAUACAUGAAAUAUGAUCCAGUAUGUUCUUUUGACUACAGAAAAAGAACAGACUAUUUCUGAUGUGUAGCACUGCCUUUCAGUACUAAUAGAGGUUUAAAAAUUGAGAACUUGAGAGCCUUUCAGUAACAAAUGGAUAGCAAGUGCAACAUUGUCAUUUUGGAGAUGACAGAAAGCACAAUUCAGCAGAAAAGAUCUUGCUUCUCCCCGCUUGCUUUGAACUUUUCAUUUUCUCUUUGCAAAUUUUCUUCAUCAUCUGCAAAUACUUAGUGUAGCCAUGUGUUAGGGAAUUACAUUAUAUUCCCUCCAACUAUGUGUCAUUAAAAUUAUUCAGCUUUGCUUUGAGAUUCAAAGUCAAUUCAUCUGCAGAUUAGUUUAACUGCCUCUGAAGUCUUCGGUCCCAAGAAAAUGCGAGCUUCAAACCUACUGCAAGCUGCACCUGUCCUGCCAGAGUGCCAAAAAGCCACAGGCAGGACCUAAAUGCUCAGAGCUACAUAAUUAUGUCGAGACCUAUUUUUACCUGUUGGUUCACUGGAGGUCUGUGAUGACACAGCCUUCUUGACAGUAAACUGGUUCAGGUAUCCUCUUCAAUCCACACUGUCUGGUGCUGGAUCAUUCUCAUAUUCUGUCCUGUAAACAGACACACCUGCAAGAGAAGAGCUCCUUGAGAUUUCAGCCGCUCUUGUGAGUUUGAACAGGGUCAAACAUACAUUGAUCCUUUUUGUUUAAACAUUUAGUUAGUUUCCUUGCCUCCUUUGAGUCUAUCUUGGCUCUGUUUGAAGAAACAAGAUGUUCUUUUCAACAUCAUAUGCAUUGUUAAAAAGGUUUCUAAAACAAAAAGCCACUGAAGUUUACCAGAGUAGUUAAAUCAGAUAAUUGUUCCAUAACUCCCCUUGUGGACACUAUCCCUCCAGAAUAAAAGAGGGUUCUGUGCUUUUAUGCUCAAUUUGCUUUAUUCAUGUUGGAACAAAACAUUUUAAACUUUUUUUUUUUUUUUUCUGGAAUAUCUACUCUGGUAAAUUUCCAAGUACAGUUGUUCCAUCAGUAGCUAAUGGGGAAGAAAAACAUAAGGCUCUCCAAGACUCCAGGGCAUAUUUUUGGAUCUAUCAACCAGCAUUCUCUAUAUUAAGUUCUUGAAGAAACUUUGUUUAAUAAUUUUGUACUAUAAAGUUACUGUUCUUGUACAAUUGCCACAAGACUCUAUAUCUGGUACAGCCCAGCAUUCAGCAAAUAGUCAUGAUAAUAAAAACAUACUGUACUGACUAAGGUUUUUGUUUUAGUUUGUGUGGGGUUUUUUUUAGGCAAAAAAUAAGAUGAAAAUACCUAGGUUUGGUGAAAGACAAUGAAAAAUUGUUACAGACAUAUUUAAGCCUUCAAGAACAGUGUCACUAGAAGCCUGUGGUGGGGUAUAUUUGUAUUUCACAAAUACACAGAAGCACAGAAAUUGCAAAAAUGUUUGCAAGAGCAUUAAAGCAGGCUAUAUUCUCAGGCCAAUUUCCCAGUAAUUUUGGCUUUAUUCCCACACUACAGUUCUGAACUCAAUAUGCUUCGCCAUAUCUGAC